rnacentral:rRNA from 1 species
UGAGGAAUUUUCCGCAAUGGGCGCAAGCCUGACGGAGCGACGCCGCGUGAGGGAUUAAGGCCUUCGGGUUGUAAACCUCUUUUACGAGGGAAAAAGGGUUGAUCGCUUUAAAACCGGUCAAUUUUGAUGGUACUUCGUGAAUAAGCCCCGGCUAACUACGUGCCAGCAGCCGCGGUAAUACGUAGGGGGCGAGCGUUGUCCGGAAUUACUGGGCGUAAAGGGCGUGUAGGCGGUUGGAUAAGUCUGGUGUGAAAUUCCAUGGCUUAACUGUGGAGCUGCGCUGGAUACUGUCUGACUGGAGUUCGGUAGGGGUGACUAGAAUUCCCGGUGUAACGGUGAAAUGUGUAGAUAUCGGGAGGAAUACCUGUGGCGAAGGCGGGUCACUGGGCCGUAACUGACGCUGAGACGCGAAAGCGUGGGGAGCAAACAGG